rnacentral:rRNA from 1 species
CCUACGGGAGGCAGCAGUAGGGAAUAUUGGGCAAUGGAGGCAACUCUGACCCAGCCAUGCCGCGUGCAGGAAGAAGGCGUUAUGCGUUGUAAACUGCUUUUAUAUAGGAAGAAAUAGACCUUGCGAGGUAAGUUGACGGUACUAUAUGAAUAAGCACCGGCUAACUCCGUGCCAGCAGCCGCGGUAAUACGGAGGGUGCAAGCGUUGUCCGGAUUUAUUGGGUUUAAAGGGUGCGUAGGCGGUUUAUUAAGUCAGUGGUGAAAGACGGUCGCUCAACGAUUGCAGUGCCAUUGAUACUGGUAGACUUGAGUGGGAUUGAGGUAGCUGGAAUGGAUAGUGUAGCGGUGAAAUGCAUAGAUAUUAUCCAGAACACCAAUUGCGUAGGCAAGUUACUAAGUCUCAACUGACGCUGAGGCACGAAAGUGUGGGUAUCAAACAGGAUUAGAUACCCUGGUAGUCCACACUGUAAACGAUGAUAACUACUGUUGUCUUCGGNUNAGUGUACGAGAGAAUACGUUAAGUUAUACACCGUGGAGACGCGCGACGUAGAACGACGAAGAAGUAGUACGGCGUGAGAGUAGACGACGGACGACGACGAGGGAGGAGG